AUUGAACGCUGGCGGCAGGCCUAACACAUGCAAGUCGAGCGGAUGAGUGGAGCUUGCUCCAUGAUUCAGCGGCGGACGGGUGAGUAAUGCCUAGGAAGCUGCCUGGUAGUGGGGGACAACGUUUCGAAAGGAACGCUAAUACCGCAUACGUCCUACGGGAGAAAGCAGGGGACCUUCGGGCCUUGCGCUAUCAGAUGAGCCUAGGUCGGAUUAGCUAGUUGGUGGGGUAAAGGCCUACCAAGGAGACGAUCCGUAACUGGUCUGAGAGGAUGAUCAGUCACACUGGAACUGAGACACGGUCCAGACUCCUACGGGAGGCAGCAGUGGGGUAUAUUGGACAAUGGGCGAAAGCCUGAUCCAGCCAUGCCGCGUGUGUGAAGAAGGUCUUCGGAUUGUAAAGCACUUUAAGUUGGGAGGAAGGGCAGUAAGUUAAUACCUUGCUGUUUUGACGUUACCAACAGAAUAAGCACCGGCUAACUUCGUGCCAGCCGCCGCGGUAACAC
rnacentral:rRNA from 1 species